AUAUAAACUCAACCCUUCUCUUGUUGAAGGGUUUGGAUGUGGGGGUUUUGCUGGCCUUCUCAAAGAGGUUCAGCUCCCCUGAAAUGCAUUAGCAGAACGACCUUGCUCAUUGGUGUGAUAACUAUCUACGCUUAUGACUGUGAGGGGCAGUUCAGCUUUCUAACAGUCCAUGGACAAUUCAUCAUUA
rnacentral:misc_RNA from 1 species